rnacentral:rRNA from 1 species
UCCUCCCUCUGGCGGCGUGCCUAAUACAUGCAAGUCGAACGCACAGUUUAUACCGUAGCUUGCUACACCAUAGACUGUGAGUUGCGAACGGGUGAGUAACGCGUAGGUAACCUGCCUGGUAGCGGGUGAUAACUCUUGGAAACGAUAGCUAAUACCGCAUCAUAUUGAUUAUUGCAUGAUAAUUGAUUGAAAGAUGCUCUUGCAUCACUACCUGAUGGCCCUGCGUUGUAUUAGCUAGUAGGUGAGGUAACGGCUCACCUAGGCGACGAUACAUAGCCGACCUGGGAGGGUGAUCGGCCACACUGGGACUGAGACACGGCCCAGACUCCUACGGGAGGCAGCAGUAGGGAAUCUUCGGCAAUGGAGGGAAGUCUGACCGAGCAACGCCGCGUGAGUGAAGAAGGGUUUCGGAUCGUAAAGCUCGGUUGUAAGAGAAGAACGGGUGUGAGAGUGGAAAGUUCACACUGUGACGGUAUCUUACCAGAAAGGGACGGCUAACUACGUG